GAAAUAAAAAAAUUAAGCUUCUAACUUAAUAAAUAGCACUUUUGUUAAUAUUUCU
rnacentral:tRNA from 1 species